rnacentral:rRNA from 1 species
UACGAAGGGUGCAAGCGUUACUCGGAAUUACUGGGCGUAAAGCGUGCGUAGGCGGUUUGUUAAGUCCGUUGUGAAAGCCCUGGGCUCAACCUGGGAACUGCGUUUCUAACUGGCAGGCUUGAGUGUGGCAGAGGGGGGUGGAAUUCCACGUGUAGCAGUGAAAUGCGUAGAGAUGUGGAGGAACACCGAUGGCGAAGGCAGCCCCCUGGGUUAACACUGACGCUCAGGCACGAAAGCGUGGGGAGCAAACAGG